AUUCCUCGUUGUUGAGCGAGGUUUAAACAAAUCGACCACACAAACGUAGAGCCGACUACGGAUUUAUAAAUUAAGGCAUUAAGUGUGAUAAGGAGAC
rnacentral:ncRNA from 1 species